rnacentral:lncRNA from 1 species
AUUUUCACCUUUUUCUAAAUAAAGGUGUUUUUAAGAAAUUUAUCUUGGAACUUGAAAAAAUGUUCAACUAUAAGAGUGAAGAAUAUCAUUUAUACUAUUUCCUUGGGUUUUGCACAAUUUCCUAAUGGUUUUAGAGGCAAGAUUUUGAAUCUGAUGCAUGUGAUCCUGAAGGAACAUGGCAGCUGUUCUUGGGCUUUUAUGGAUGAGUCUUUUCAAUCAAGUACUGAUUAUUUAAUAUAAUUUUUAAUGUAAAUUUUAACUCUUCAAAGGCCAGUUGAAUUGUCAGAGUGAAAUAGAAUUGGUUAUUCUCAAAGACUCAGGACAAACUAAAUAAGCUAUAUAGUACACUAAAAAUGUACAGUACUAAUUGGAAGCAAAAUAAGUUCCAGGUUUACAGGGAUAUGUACCAUUUUUUAAGAAAUUGUGAAUGUGUGUUUCUUAGGGAAAUUUUACAUUCCUUUGUUUUGGAAGAUUGGCAAUCUUUGAAGAGUUAAAAGGAAAAAACCAACAACAGCAGUACUGAAAUGUGAAGUUUGGUAGCUUUGACUGUAAUGUACUUGACUUUCUUUUUUUUUUUUUUCUUUAUUGAACUACUUAGAAUUUUCACAAUUCUAAUAAGAUUGUUUCCAAGUCUCUCAUGUGCAAGCUUUAAAGGAUGCACUCUUGCCAUUUUAUAUACUGGAAGAUCAGUUGUCAGAUCAAGGUUUUCUGACAAAUGUAAACUGUAUAAACUGAUGAACCUCAGCUAAUCAGUAUUACUUUGUAGAUCACCAUGCCUACCACAUUUCAAACUCAAACUGCCUCUAGAUGUCAAAAUGCAUUUUGUUUGAGUUUGUUUGCAUUUCCCUCAGCUUGCUGGUAAUUGUGGUGUUUGUUUUAUGUGUGUGUGCACGUGUGCGUGCGUGAAUGUGUGUGGUGUGUUUGUAUGUUUUUAAAUGCAGAUGUGAUGUAAUAUUCUUAUUUUCUUUGGAUCAAAGCUGGACUGAAAAUUGUAUUGUGUAAUUAUUUUGUGUUCUUAAUGUUAUUUGGUACUUAAGUUGUAAAUAGCGUCUACUGCUGUUUAUUCCAGUUUCUACUACCUCAGGUGUCCUAUAGAUUUUCUUCUACCAAAGUUCACUUUCACAAUGAAAUUAUAUUUGCUAUGUGACUAUGAUUCCUAAGACUUCCAGGGCUUAAGGGCUAACUUCUAUUAGCACCUUACUGUGCAAGCAAAUGUUACAAAAAUCUCUGGGUUAAGAAUUUGGCUUAAAUGUAUCCUUUUGUUAUUUUAAAUAUAUCAAGAUAUUUUAAUUAAAAGUUUUU